GAUGAACGCUGGCGGCGUGCCUAAUACAUGCAAGUCGAGCGAACGGACUAGAAGCUUGCUUCUCUGAUGUUAGCGGCGGACGGGUGAGUAACACGUGGAUAACCUACCUAUAAGACUGGGAUAACUUCGGGAAACCGUAGCUAAUACCGGAUAAUCUUUUGAACCGCAUGGUUCAAAAGUGAAAGACGGUCUUGCUGUCACUUAUAGAUGGAUCCGCGCUGCAUUAGCUAGUUGGUAAGGUAACGGCUUACCAAGGCAACGAUGCAUAGCCGACCUGAGAGGGUGAUCGGCCACACUGGAACUGAGACACAGUCCAGACUCCUACGGGAGGCAGCAGUAGGGAAUCUUACGCAAUGGGCGAAAGCCUGACGGAACAACGCCGCGUGAGUGAUGAAGGUCUUCGGAUCGUAAAACUCUGUUAUGAGGGAAGAACAUAUGUGUAAGUAACUGUGCACAUCUUGACGGUACCUAAUCAGAAAGCCACGGCUAACUACGUG
rnacentral:rRNA from 1 species